rnacentral:rRNA from 1 species
UACGAAGGGGGCUAGCGUUGUUCGGAAUCACUGGGCGUAAAGCGCACGCAGGCGGAUUGAUAAGUCAGGGGUGAAAUCCCGGAGCUCAACUCCAGAACUGCCUUUGAUACUGAGGAUCUUGAGUUCGGGAGAGGUGAGUGGAACUGCGAGUGUAGAGGUGAAAUUCGUAGAUAUUCGCAAGAACACCAGUGGCGAAGGCGGCUCACUGGCCCGAUACUGACGCUGAGGCACGAAAGCGUGGGGAGCAAACAGG